CACGUAGGGGGCAAGCGUUGUCCGGAUUUAUUGGGCGUAAAGAGCUCGUAGGCGGCUCAGUAAGUCAGGUGUGAAACCUCCAGGCUCAACCUGGGAAUUGCGAUGAAGACUGCAAGGCUUGAAUCUGGCAGAGGGGGGUAGAAUUCCACGUGUAGCAGGUGAAAUGCGUAGAGAUGAUGGAGGAACACCAAUGGCGAAGGCAGCUCGCUGGAACGGUACUGACGCUGAGGCGCGAAAGCGUGGGGAGCGAAACAGG
rnacentral:rRNA from 1 species